UUGGUUUUCGGGUGGUUUUGGGUGGGGUUAAAGGUUCCUGGGCCGCGCGAAAAGGGGAGGGGAGUCGUCGGAGAAGGAGGUUAGAUUUCUGGUUGGUUAGUGUUGCGGUCAGCGGUGGCCGUUAGGUGGUGAGAUGGGACGUUUCAAGAUGCGGGGAAAGAGAGAAGGUGGGGCGGAGGAUGUUGGGCGUCGCCGAAUGAGGGGGGGAGGUCGGGCGACUUUGGCUGAGGCCUGGCCGCCGGCAGGGGGAGGGGCUGCUGGUGGCUAGGUUGGGUGGGGGAAGGGCCGGUUUGAUUUUAUUAUUUUAAAAUAAAAUAUUUUUAUAAUAAUUUAAUUAUUAAAAAAAAUAAAAACUAACUAUAGUUAAGAAUUUUUAUUACAAUAACACUUAUCAAUGGUAACCAAUAAUUUAGAUUCACCAAAGAUAAUAAGAAUUUUUGCAAUUUACCACUGAGAAAAGUAAAAAUUAGAGGUUUACCAAAGAGAAUUUCCCAAGCUUUUUUCUUUUCUUUUUUAUUUUUCUGAAAUAGAAGAUAUUAAUAAGUUGGGGGAGAGUAAACGAACAAACAACAUUCAUAUAUGUAUUGAAUUAAAGGUAGUGUUUUUUUUUUUUUUUGGAAAUUCUACACUAUACUCCUGAGGUGUUGGCUUUUCCAAGUUGUGUUCCUCCCUUUAAAAAGUUUCACGCUAUAACCUCAUGGUCCCACAGGUGAUUACGUUGUAACAUUACUUAGUCACCAUAAAUGACGGACGUUAGAGAUAGUUAAUGCCGCCAUUUAACUUUUGUACUUUCCCUCUAUUUCCAUUUAAGUCCCCCCCCCCCCGAGUCUCCGUGUUUCAUUCAUUCAUUCAUGACCUCACUUGUUUCUGAUCAAAAACCCUAAAUUCUAAGAGUGAUUUGCACGUUGAGAAAUUUUGCUGGGAAAAAAUAUGAAGAGCGAAAUCACCAUUUGGUUGGAGAUAAAGUGGGUGAAGGUUCUGGUCAUUUCUGCAUAAAAGGAUUGUCAAAGAUGGAUGAGAGAGUUCUUAAAAUUCAUUAUCGUGCUAAGUGUGUUCGUGUAAAGGUUGAUGAUAUAGAUAGAUGUUUGUUAAAUGAUGUGCUUAAUGAGAUGUGUGAGGAGUUUAAAAAGAGUGAAGUUAAGUUGCCAACAUACCCUGGGUUACACCUGACAUUAGAGGUAAAGCACUGAAUAACCUACUUUGGGAGAAAUUUGCUUGGUGUGAGAAUGGCACGUUCAAGCUUAUACAAGAUGAAGGGUUUGGCUAAGGAAAUGAUACAAGGUGGACACGAUGAUUCCUAUGGGGAGCUACCUGGAUAUUGUGAGAUGAUUAAGGACAGAAACCAAGGUUCUAUAGCAUUUUGCUUGUGGAAAACACUACAACAAUCUGAGAGAGUUCUUCAAUUCUGAUGCAUAUUCAUAAGUUUUGCUGCUCAGUUCAAUGAGGUCAUAAAUGGUUGUAGGGGGCUUAGUAUGUGUGAAUGGUUGCCACUUGAAAGGCAACUAUUGUGGAGUACUACUCUCUGCUGUCUCAUUACCUGGGAAUAAUGAGAUAUUCCCUCUUGCAGUAGUAGUGAUUGACUUAAAGAAUAAAAGUAGCCAGAGUUGGUUCUUUACUCAUUUGAAGAACAUACUCACUUAGAUAGGAAGAGAUGACUUGACAAUAAUGAGUGAUAGGUAUAAGGUGUUUCUACUAACUCUCAUUUGCAUUUUACCAUGACUUGAAUACUUGUUUACUAGCUGUCCUUUUUUCUUAUAUAUGUCAAGGGAAUUGAUCCAUCAUUGGAUCAAAUUUGGCCAACUUGUGACAGAAGGUAUUGUGCAAGGCAUCUAUCCAAGAACUUCAAGACUGGGUAUCCUGGUGUGGUCAUGCACAAACUCUUCUGGGCUAUGACUAAUGCAUAUUCAGCAUUUAGUUUCAAAAAAGCUCUCUGACAAGUUCAGAAAGCUGCAUGCAAUGACUUGGAUCAGAUAAAUGGUUCAAAGACUUGGGCCCACUAUAGAGAUGGACAAAAUUUAAGUUUGACCAAAACUUACGCUGUGAUGAGAACACCAACAACUUUGUGGAGAGCUUCAAUAGUACCAUAGGAGUUGACAAGACAUACCCUAUUUUAACUUUACUAGAAGGUGUCAGAAGAAUUGCUAUGGUCAGACAUCCAACAAGACAACAACUAUCAGAGCAAUGGAAGGAAGAGGGAGUGUGUCCAAACAUUAGGGAAAUAGUUAGAGUUGUAAGAAGGGAGUCAAGACUUUGUCAUGCAUAUCCAUCAGGGAGGGGAGAGUAUGAGAUAGAGUAUGAGAUAUCAGAUGGGAGAAGCAUGCAACUUGUUUCUCUAAACACUAAUGCUUUGUUUGGAUGGGAAACAUGGAAGGAAAGGAAGGGGAGGGAUAAAAGAGGAAGGGAAAAG